GAUGAACGCUGGCGGCGUGCUUAACACAUGCAAGUCGAACGGGAAUUCUUUUAUUGACACUUCGGUCGAUUUAAUUUACUUCUAGUGGCGGCCGGGUGAGUAACUCGUGGUUAACCUGCCUUAUCCAGGGGGAUAACAGUCAGAAAUGGCUGCUAAUACCGCAUCAGCGCACAGAGCUGCAUGGCUCAGUGUGAAAAACUCCGGUGGUAUAAGAUGGACCCGCGUUGGAUUAGCUGGUUGGUGGGGUAACGGCCCACCAAGGCGACGAUCCAUAGCCGGCCUGAGAGGGUGAACGGCCACAUUGGGACUGAGACACGGCCCAGACUCCUACGGGAGGCAGCAGUGGGGAAUAUUGCACAAUGGGGGAAACCCUGAUGCAGCGACGCCGCGUGAAGGAAGAAGUAUCUCGGUAUGUAAACUUCUAUCAGCAGGGAAGAUAGUGACGGUACCUGACUAAGAAGCCCCGGCUAACUACGUG
rnacentral:rRNA from 1 species